rnacentral:rRNA from 1 species
CCUACGGGGGGCAGCAGUGAGGAAUAUUGGUCAAUGGCCGGAAGGCUGAACCAGCCAUGCCGCGUGAAGGUCAGUGCCCUAUGGGCGUUAAACUUCUUUUGUGCGGGAGCAAUAAUGGUCACGUGUGGCCAGACGAGAGUACCGUACGAAUAAGCAUCGGCUAACUCCGUGCCAGCAGCCGCGGUAAUACGGGGGAUGCAAGCGUUAUCCGGAUUUAUGGGGUGUAAAGGGUGCGUAGGCUGGGAGGUAAGUCAGCGGUGAAAUGCCGCCGCUCAACGGGGUGAAGUGCCAUUGAUACUGGCGUGCUGGAAGGCGGAUGCCGUGGGAGGAAUGUGUGGUGUAGCGGUGAAAUGCAGAGAUAUCACACAGAACACCGAUUGCGAAGGCAUCUCACGAAUCCGCGAUUGACGCUGAUGCACGAAAGCGUGGGUAUCAAACAGGAUUAGAUACCCUUGUAGUC